rnacentral:rRNA from 1 species
GUCCUGGCAGUAAACGGUGCACGUUUGGUGUGGGAGGAUUCGACCCCUUCCGUGCCGGAGCUAACGCGUUAAACGUGCCGCCUGGGAAGUACGGUCGCAAGAUUAAAACUCAAAGAAAUUGACGGGGGCCCGCACAAGCGGUGGAGUAUGUGGCUUAAUUCGAUGCAACGCGAAGAACCUUACCAGGGUUUUACAUGCAUCUCUAAGUCGGUGAAAGCCGGCUAGUGUAGCAAUACACAAUUUGCACAGGUGCUGCAUGGCUGUCGU